ACGGAAGGCAGCAGUGGGGAAUAUUGCACAAUGGGGGAAACCCUGAUGCAGCGACGCCGCGUGAGUGAAGAAGUAUUUCGGUAUGUAAAGCUCUAUCAGCAGGAAAGAAAAUGACGGUACCUGACUAAGAAGCCCCGGCUAACUACGUGCCAGCAGCCGCGGUAAUACGUAGGGGGCAAGCGUUAUCCGGAUUUACUGGGUGUAAAGGGAGCGUAGACGGCUUUGCAAGUCUGAAGUGAAAGCCCGGGGCUCAACCCCGGAACUGCUUUGGAAACUGUAGAGCUAGAGUGCAGGAGAGGUAAGUGGAAUUCCUAGUGUAGCGGUGAAAUGCGUAGAUAUUAGGAGGAACACCAGUGGCGAAGGCGGCUUACUGGACUGUAACUGACGUUGAGGCUCGAAGGCGUGGGGAGCAUACAGGAUUAGAUACCCUGGUA
rnacentral:rRNA from 1 species